GAAUUGGUUUCGUGGUGUUAUCACGUCAGUUUAACACACUGAAGGUCUCCGGUUCGAACCCGGGAGAAGCCA